CCAAGGAGUCUAGCAUGUGCGCGAGUCAUUGGGACUAUAAUAAACCUAAAGGCGCAAUGAAAGUAAAAGUCCGCCUUGCGCGGACCUAGGGAGGAUGAGACCGUUCUCGGACGGACUCCGCACUCCCGGGGCGUCUCGUUCUCAUCGCGAGAAGAGGCGCACCUAGAGCGUACACGCUGGGACCCGAAAGAUGGUGAACUAUGCCUGGUCAGGACGAAGUCAGGGGAAACCCUGAUGGAGGUCCGUAGCGAUUCUGACGUGCAAAUCGAUCGUCGGAACUGGGUAUAGGGGCGAAAGACUAAUCGAAC
rnacentral:rRNA from 1 species